GAAGGCUUGGUGAAGGGGCUGGAGACUCGAUCCAGACCUGCCGACAGGAUCUGCGGUUCCUGCAGGUCCCAGGAUGACUUGGGGGCACUGAAAAGAGAAGGUGGCUCGCGGCCUACUUGGGUGGCUGAAAUAAAAGUCUACUCGAGGAAAUCCAUCCAUCCGCAGGAAACAAAAAAUGGGAGUCGAGACUCUGGCCGUUGUCACUUCCCCCUACCAGAGCGGUGCCGCCUGGGGGGCGGAGACUCGGGACCUGGAGAGUCCCUUUCUCCCACCUCCGCUCCUUUCCUAGGACUUCCCGCGGGAAGGAGGAGACCCUGGCCUCGCCCUCGGCUCGCGGGCCCCAGGCCGCCUCUCUCUCUUUCUCUCUCUCUCUUACCCCUUCGAGCGACAGACGCUUAGUUCCCGCGCUGGAGAAGUCAGCCCCCUGGGUCCCGCCCGCUCCCACGCCGGUCGCCCUCCAGUCAUGGCUGCCACCACCUCGGUUCCACUCAAUCGAUUUUUGCUGCAUGUCAACACUUAUUACCGUGUCAUACAUAACCCCGUGCGGAAGGACGAGCUCCUGGAAAGCGAGUAAUGUUUAAAGAUUCGGCCUGAUCUCCAAGGCCGACCCACUCCGCCGCCCAGCCCAGGUCUCCAGUGUUUCCAAACAAAGAAAAUGAAUUUUCAUCCUUAACCUACCACCACCAAGGAAGAAGCUGAGGUAACUUCCUACCUGAAAGAAUCGAAAACCGAAUCGACUGUGUUUAACGUGCAUAACUUCCUUCACGUUGUUAAAGGCUCAGAGCAGUGCACACUCCUGACUAUUGGGCCUUCUUAGACUGUGUGUGUGUCUUCAACUCUGGAGACUGAUGGAUCUUUCUAGACCUGUUUCUCCCAUUCCAUUCUGCGGGUAAAAUACGCAUAAGGUGUUUCCCCACCCCCUCUCGCGCGCCCUGUCUCCCUCUCCCGUUUUCAUUAUCCGCAGCAAUGUGUUGGGUCAACUCGGAAAAUAGAUCUUGCUCGAUUAUGGGCCCUAAGGUACCAAGAUUAAGUCCUGGGGGCAGUUUCUUAGAACCCCUGAAACUCCCUCUGACCCCACCCCCAGGUUUUCCUUCCGGAAGUAGCCUAGUGUCUCCGGGACAGUUCGCUGCUGCAUGGACUCCCUCACACGGUCGGGGCAGGAACCUUUCUGCUGGAUGCUCUAGGGCCAGGAGACCUAAAACCGUGACGACUGCUCCCCACCCCCCACCCCACCCCCCGAGAAAGCGGUGUGGCAGUGUGGAAUGUGACUUAGAAUUCACAAUAGUGGCAGUCCAGGACUUAAGGCGCGCUCCCUGGGGCUGAGUCUGUCAACAGCCCCUUCAGACCUGCUUCUCCAUGCCGGUGUCUGGUGGAGUUGCUGCACCCAGCUGGAGCUCAUGCUGAACGGACUGGUGUCACUGCAGGUGGCUGCUUGCACGUCUCUGACCUUGAGUCUUCGGGCCAGAUGUGGACUAAGAAUGGGGACCCAGGUGGAAGACCCUGCAGGCCCUCCAGGGGCUAAGGAAGAGGCUUUUGCCUGCUAGAGCCAGCAGGUCCCGUGGUUAGAAAAAACAAACAAACAAACAGGACUUCAAGAAAAAGAGUAAAAUAAAAACCUUUCUGGUUGUGGGUGCAGGCACCCAUGUUGUUCUUUU